rnacentral:sRNA from 1 species
UUAUGUAGAGGCUAUUGAAGCGAUUGUUGAAGCAGAAGGGCGCUUUGAUUUUAUCUAUAUUCAAGCACCAUACUCGGAGACAUUAACGAAUUUAUUAUAAAUGAUAAGCGAACCAUACAAUACGUAUGUUGAUGAAUCAUUUUGGUCAGUUGAAUAUGAACAAGACGAAAAUGUCCAAAAAUACGUUGUUCAACCAUUACAUUACCGGAAUAUUGAAGAACGUAAUAAUAAAUUAGAGGCAGUUAGCUUCUCAGGACAGUAUGGAGAUAAGGUUUCUCCUAAGUUAGCAC